GCCCGGGUAGCUCAAUUGGCCAGAGCGUGCGGCUUUUACGUCUUCUUCAGGACAGUCACCGCAAGGCUGAGGGUUCGACCCCCUCCUCGGGCG
rnacentral:tRNA from 1 species